rnacentral:misc_RNA from 1 species
GGGCUUGUCAUAAGUGGCCAUGGCUGCUUCUUUGAGUGCCUCACUCAUAGUUGGAUGUGCAUGACAAGUACGAGCAAUGUCCUCACUUGAUGCUCCGUACUGCAAUGCCAGUACAGCUUCAUGAAUAAGCUCCCCUGCGUUAGGUGACAUAAUAUGGACGCCCAAUAUCUUGUCACUCUCUUUCUCAGCAAUUACCUUGACAAUUCCCUCGGCAUCAUCAAUUGCCUUGGCUCUACUGUUAGCUAGGAAGGGGAAUUUGCCAACACGAUAAUCAACUCCGAGUGACUUUACCUGUUCCUCGGUUUUCCCAACAUAAGCCACCUCCGGGUGGGUGUAAACAACACCAGGUACCAUAUCAUAGUCUACAUGACCCUCCUUGCCUGCAAUGAACUCUACGCAAGCAACGCCAUCCUCCUCUGCCUUGUGAGCCAACAUUGGUCCAGGAAUGACAUCACCAAUUGCAUGUACCCCUGGGACGUUUGUGGCAAAACGUUCAUUGACCAAGA